rnacentral:rRNA from 1 species
GACGAACGCUGGCGGCGUGCUUAACACAUGCAAGUCGAACGGAAAGGCCCCUUUGGGGGUACUCGAGUGGCGCACGGGUGAGUAACACGUGAGUAACCUGCCCUUGACUUCGGGAUAACUUCAGUAAACUGGGGCUAAUACCGGAUAGGAAUCCUUGCUGCAUGGUGGGGGUUGGAAAGCUUCAGCGGUUUUGGAUGGACUCGCGGCUUAUCAGCUUGUUGGUGGGGUAGUGGCUUACCAAGGCUUUGACGGGUAGCCGGCCUGAGAGGGCGACCGGCCACAUUGGGACUGAGAUACGGCCCAGACGCCUACGGGAGGCAGCAGUGGGGAAUAUUGCACAAUGGGCGGAAGCCUGAUGCAGCAACGCCGCGUGCGGGAUGACGGCCUUCGGGUUGUAAACCGCUUUCAGCAGGGGCGAAGCUUGUGGUGACGGUACCUGCAGAAGAAGCACCGGCUAACUACGUG